rnacentral:rRNA from 1 species
GAUUUUUAAUUUAACGGCCGCGGUAUCCUAACCGUGCAAAGGUAGCGCAAUCACUUGUCCCUUAAAUGGGGACCUGUAUGAAUGGCUCAACGAGGGCUUAACUGUCUCCCUUCCCCAGUCAAUGAAACUGAUCUUCCCGUGCAGAAGCGGAAAUUAAAUUAUAAGACGAGAAGACCCUGUGGAGCUUUAGACGGAAAAUAAACUUUGUUUAACAAACUCGAAUAAAAGCUAAAACAAUAAGAAAUUAUAAUGAACUGUCUUCGGUUGGGGCGACCACGGGGCAACACUAAACCCCCAUGUGGAACGGGGUCUCAAACCCCUAAACUUAGAAUUACAAUUCAAAGCAAUAAAAUUUUUAACCUAAAAUGAUCCGGCUGCGCCGAUCAACGGAAUUAGUUACCCCAGGGAUAACAGCGCCAUCCUCUCCUAGAGUCCUUAUCGACGAGAGGGUUUACGACCUCGAUGUUGGAUCAGGACAUCCUAAUGGUGCAACCGCUAUUAAGGGUUUGUUUGUUCAACAAUUAAAGUCCUACGUGAUC